rnacentral:rRNA from 1 species
CCUACGGGAGGCAGCAGCGGGGAAUAUUGGACAAUGGGCGCAAGCCUGAUCCAGCCAUGCCGCGUGUGUGAAGAAGGCCUUUUGGUUGUAAAGCACUUUAAGCGAGGAGGAGGCUACUUGGAUUAAUACUCUAGGAUAGUGGACGUUACUCGCAGAAUAAGCACCGGCUAACUCUGUGCCAGCAGCCGCGGUAAU